rnacentral:rRNA from 1 species
AGGGAUGAAGGCCUCUGGGCUGUAAACCUCUUUUCUCAAGGAAGAAUAUCUGACGGUACUUGAGGAAUAAGCCACGGCUAAUUCCGUGCCAGCAGCCGCGGUAAUACGGGAGUGGCGAGCGUUAUCCGGAAUUAUUGGGCGUAAAGCGUCCGCAGGCGGCCUUUCAAGUCUGCUGUUAAAGCGUGGAGCUUAACUCCAUCAUGGCAGUGGAAACUGUUUGGCUUGAGUGUGGUAGGGGCAGAGGGAAUUCCCGGUGUAGCGGUGAAAUGCGUAGAUAUCGGGAAGAACACCAGUGGCGAAGGCGCUCUGCUGGGCCAUAACUGACGCUCAUGGACGAAAGCCAGGGGA